rnacentral:rRNA from 1 species
UAGAUACCCGGGUAGUCCACACCGUAAACGAUGAAUGCCAGACGUCAGCAAGCAUGCUUGUUGGUGUCACACCUAACGGAUUAAGCAUUCCGCCUGGGGAGUACGGUCGCAAGAUUAAAACUCAAAGGAAUUGACGGGGGCCCGCACAAGCGGUGGAGCAUGUGGUUUAAUUCGACGCAACGCGCAGAACCUUACCAACCCUUGACAUACUUGUCGCGGAUUCCAGAGAUGGAUUCCUUCAGUUCGGCUGGACAAUGUACAGGUGCUGCAUGGCCGCCGUCAGAAG